rnacentral:rRNA from 1 species
GAUCAUGGCUCAGGAUGAACGCUAGCUACAGGCUUAACACAUGCAAGUCGAGGGGCAGCAUGACCUAGCAAUAGGUUGAUGGCGACCGGCGCACGGGUGAGUAACACGUAUCCAACCUACCGGUUAUUCCGGGGAUAGCCUUUCGAAAGAAAGAUUAAUACCGGAUAGUAUAACGAGAAGGCAUCUUUUUGUUAUUAAAGAAUUUCGAUAACCGAUGGGGAUGCGUUCCAUUAGUUUGUUGGCGGGGUAACAGCCC